rnacentral:rRNA from 1 species
UGCAAUAAGAGUUGUGCUAAGGUAGCAUAAUCAUUAGUUCUUUAAUUGGGGGCUGGAAUGAAGGGCUGGACAAAAAGAAAUCUAUUUUAAUAAUAAUAAUUGAAGUUUACUUUUAAGUGAAGAGGCUAAAAGGAUCCGGAAGGACGAUAAGCCCCUAUAAAAUUUAACAUUUUCAAAAUUAACUUUAAAUUAUUUGUAAAAAGAAUUUAUUUAAAAAAAUGGUUUCUUUGGGGUGAUGAAAGUAUAAACUUAACUGCUUUAAUUUAAUACAAAAUAUUUGAAAUUAUAGAACCUUUUAAAAGAUUAAAAGUAAAAGUUACUUUAGGGAUAACAGCGUUAUUUUUUUUGAGAGUUCUAAUCGACAAAAAAGUUUGCGAC